ensembl:lincRNA
CAGUACUAAUAAUUCCAGCUACAUGGGGAAUCAUGUAAAACCACAGACAUGUAUCAAAUUGAAGAUAGAUGUACAUAUUAAAGUGACGCUUAGAUUCAAGGAAGAAGUAAAACUUACAAAUGCCCUCUCCAUUACAUUGGAGCCUAUGGAAAGUCUCUGCAGAACCUAUACGACUAAGAUCCACAGAUUCUUCAUACACCCUGGACAGAACACUGUAACGGUGGAAGCAUCUCCCAUUUACAUGUGGAAGAAGUCCUGGGAACAAGGCGACAGAAGUCCUGAUAUUAGAAGUGUUCAGCAAAUGUCAGAUGUGACUCAUCUAGUCAUGAAACCCAUAUGGGGACAGUUUUCUCCAGCUAUUGGAGAAAUAGGAACUUGUUCCACUAUUGCAGACUUUACAGCUAGAGAAAGUCACAACAAGCAACAAGGGAGGUAAGAAUGACCUUCACUUCACAUGAACAAACAAACAGAACCCUCUGUCUCACAACCAGUGGAACUGAAUUUGAUCAAACCAUGAUGAGCUUGUCUGUUUGAAUCCACAAAACUCUUAGUAGGAACUCAACCCAGCCUACUCUUGACUUCAGUCCC